UGGAAUUUAGCACGCAACACUAGCUUUAUUUCCGCAGGACAACCCCGCCAUGUGCAAAGGACGCUGCCUGUGUGCGAGGGGAGUGAAGCGAGGCGUGCCAAGGCCAAGACCAAAACACCACGUGAAAGAGCCGAUUUCCUCCCAGACUUGGCGGGAGAAGACUCCAAGACCAGCACAGCAGUCCCCAAAUCAAAAUAGGACUCUCCUAAUUUUUAAAAGUAGCAACCUGGCCUCAGAUUUGAUUUGCUGGCCUUGGGAACAUCCGCAAGCAAGUGUGGGAGCGGGACGGUAGCUCAAGCACCUUGUUGAUCAGAUGGGAGGCCCUGGAUGAGAGUCCUCAAAUACAUGGACCAAUGAAGUGAUGUGGGAUGAGAUGGGGAUGUCUGACUCACUUCAUACAAGGUUUCUUCACGCUGUGACAAGUCACCUCAUUCGAAAACAAGUGUCAAUUAUUUAUUGAAGAUUGCACGUGUGGCUCUGUGCUACAUUACGUGACAUGGAUUAUCUCUUCUCUGCAAGAAUCUGGGAGGAAAGGAAAUGGCUCCUGGCCAUCACGGAGGAAGGGAAGAAGGUAUCCUAAGAAGACAGGUUUGGCUCUGAAGAACUGGGGUUUCUGAAUUCUGGAUUCCCUCCCCAGAACCUGUCAGUCCUCAAUUACAAUUACCAAGGAAGCAGUAUGCAAUAACAAAAAGGAAAGGAAAGCAUAUACGAACCAAACACUUCCAGGCUGCAACAUAAUCCACACCAUUAAGCGCUCCCGGUAAGUGAGCAUCUCAAGAAGUCCAGAAGGUAAAAGUCCAGAAGAGAGAGAUUCUCCUUCUUAUGCUGUAUAUACCAGUGAUCUAAAGCUCAUAGUUUAAAUAAUCAUCUAAAUUUAGAAAAGAUACUCCAUGUAUGGCACCUUUGGGGUAAAUACCUGCCAAGCACGCACUUUUAUGGCUGCCUGAGAAACUCUUGAAAAUCAGAGUCUAUGGCACAUAUCUGGCACAAUAUUAACUUGUACUAUACAAAGAAUAGCACCAUAAGUAAAAGUAGCCUGGGAAAAUGUCAAUAAUAUAUUCAUGCUAUCAAUGAUCAGCCCAUCUCAUUGCUUUUGUUUAGGAGGCCAAAACUGGAAAUUUUUUGCAUUAAUAAAAGCAGAAGAGUAACCAUAGAAACAUAGCAGUUAUCAAUUUCCAUGGUAAAGAAAGCAACUCCUUCCAUGGGAUGCUUCGAGGUGCUCUAGGAAGCAUUUCUGCCUGAAGAUCUCUCUCCUAAGGGUUUGAACUAUUUAAAGAAAUGGGAAUUCUCUAAAAAUAAUAGGCAACCUGUUUAAUAACAAUGGCAAAUUUUGAUUAAAAGUAAAAAUAUACUUCCUAUAAAGAAAUGCAAAGAUGUGAUGGCAACAGACCAAACCAUCCAUAGCAGGAAGGGAGAGCAGCAAAGGACAAAGUCAAGGUUCAGACUGCAAGAAAAACGAAAAGCUGACGUGUAUUGAAAGCCCACUCUUUGCCAGGCACUUGUUACGUACUUCAUUUCCUUUAAUCCUCAUGACUAUCCUAUAAGUAUAUACACUUACAUAUAAACACACGCACAUGUAGUAUCUCAUUCUAGUUGCUAAAGUAAUAUGCAUUCAGGAUAGAAAAGUUGAAAAAUACUGAAGAAGUACCUGCAAGAAAGUAAACAUCACUCAUCAUAGCAUCCAAAGAGUUUGGUGUGUUUCUCUCUUUCUCUUUGCUUAUUGUUUUACGAAAUCAAGAUUACAAGAGAUUUCUAUUUAUCUUGCACAUCGUCCUCCAUCAUUGGACAUUCUUAGGAGGUAAGCUCUAGGAGGCUACGGAGUUUUGUUUGUUCAUUGUUUUGUCACCAGUGCCUGGCAUAUAGUAAACAAUAAAUGCUUUUGCAUGUGUAAAUGUGAUGGCUACAUCCUAUUCAACAUUCCUCUCUCAUUUUAAAGAUUUUGAAUUUAUCUGUAUUUUAAAUAUAUAAAUCUCCAGUUCAAAUUCCUGAUUUUUCUCCUGAAGGCCAACAGACACGACAUGAAAUUGCUAGGCUGAACGUUACAGACCUUUCUGAGUUCAUUAUCCUUAUUGACUAAUUUAUUUCUAAAAUAUGUCAAGACACAUCUGAAAGUCCCUAUUUUGUUCCACCUUCAUGGGCACUAAACGGCUUCUCUUUUUUAAAAAAAAUUUUUAAUGUUUAUUUAUUUUUGAGGAAGAGAGAGAGAGAGAGAGGGACAGUAUGAGCAGGGGAGGUGCCCAGA